AUAUAUAUAUAUAUAUAUAUAUAUGUGUGUGUGUGUGUGUGUGUGUGUGUAUAUAUAUAUACACAUACAUACACACACUCAUAGAAUACAUGCAUAUACAC
rnacentral:miRNA from 1 species